rnacentral:rRNA from 1 species
AUGCACGCUGCCGGCGUGCCUCAUACCUGCAAGUCGCGCGCACGGACGAGAAGCUUGCUUCUCUGAUGUUAGCGGCGGACGGGUGAGUAACACGUGGAUAACCUACCUAUAAGACUGGGAUAACUUCGGGAAACCGGAGCUAAUACCGGAUAAUAUUUUGAACCGCAUGGUUCAAAAGUGAAAGACGGUCUUGCUGUCACUUAUAGAUGGAUCCGCGCUGCAUUAGCUAGUUGGUAAGGUAACGGCUUACCAAGGCAACGAUGCAUAGCCGACCUGAGAGGGUGAUCGGCCACACUGGAACUGAGACACGGUCCAGACUCCUACGGGAGGCAGCAGUAGGGAAUCUUCCGCAAUGGGCGAAAGCCUGACGGAGCAACGCCGCGUGAGUGAUGAAGGUCUUCGGAUCGUAAAACUCUGUUAUUAGGGAAGAACAUAUGUGUAAGUAACUGUGCACAUCUUGACGGUACCUAAUCAGAAAGCCACGGCUAACUACGUG